rnacentral:rRNA from 1 species
GACGAACGCUGGCGGCGUGCCUAACACAUGCAAGUCGAGCGGAGUCAGUAAGAGGAAGUUUUCGGAUGGAAUCUUAUUGAUUUAGCGGCGGACGGGUGAGUAACGCGUGAGCGACCAACCUUGCACAGGGGGAUAACGGACCGAAAGGUUCACUAAUCCCGCAUGAGACCACGGUGGUGCAUGACACAGGGGUCAAAGGAGCAAUCCGGUGCAAGACGGGCUCGCGUCCGAUUAGGUAGUUGGAGGGGUAACGGCCCACCAAGCCUAUGAUCGGUAGCCGACCUGAGAGGGUGAUCGGCCACAUUGAAACUGAGAUACGGUCCAAACUCCUACGGGAGGCAGCAGUGGGGAAUAUUGGGCAAUGGGGGAAACCCUGACCCAGCAACGCCGCGUGAGGGAAGAAGGUUUUCGGAUUGUAAACCUCUGUUCUUGGAGAAGAGGAGAAGACGGUAUCCAAGGAGGAAGCCCCGGCUAACUACGUGCCAGCCGCCGCAGUAA